AGUUUCGUGCAGUGGCAGUAUCAUAGCCAAUGAGGUUUAUCCAAGGCAUGAUUAUUGCUAAUUAAAUUAUAAUGUUCAUACAUAUUUUUCAUUUCUAGAGGUUCUAUUUGGUU
ensembl:snRNA U4 U4 spliceosomal RNA